ACGAACGCUGGCGGCGUGCUUAACACAUGCAAGUCGAACGGUGAACGAGGGAGCUUGCUCCCUCCGGAUCAGUGGCGAACGGGUGAGUAACACGUGAGCAAUCUGCCCCGAACUCUGGGAUAAGCGUUGGAAACGACGUCUAAUACCGGAUACGACGCGGGAGGGCAUCCUCUCCGCGUGGAAAGAACUUCGGUUCGGGAUGAGCUCGCGGCCUAUCAGCUUGUUGGUGAGGUAACGGCUCACCAAGGCGACGACGGGUAGCCGGCCUGAGAGGGUGACCGGCCACACUGGGACUGAGACACGGCCCAGACUCCUACGGGAGGCAGCGGUGGGGAAUAUUGCACAAUGGGCGCAAGCCUGAUGCAGCAACGCCGCGUGAGGGACGACGGCCUUCGGGUUGUAAACCUCUUUUAGCAGGGAAGAAGCGAAAGUGACGGUACCUGCAGAAAAAGCACCGGCUAACUACGUG
rnacentral:rRNA from 1 species